CAAUUAAACAUUUUUUUAAUAUCAAUUUUCAUUAUCUCAGUAAAUUAAAAUUUGUGUCAUACUUCAGUCAUACUAUCAAACUUCAAACUAUAUAUGUGAUUAUACUUUUAUAUAUAUUUUUGAAGUGACGAAGUGAAGUCAGCAAGAGCACAAUUUCACAUCAAUUGUGAAACGUUCGACGCACCCUGAGUUAUCGGUGAAUGACCUAAUCUUUCCACAGAAGUAAAUUGGUGUUCCAUAUACUUAGCUAUUCAUGCCUAGUCUUUGAAAAUCUUCAGUCUGGAAAAUAAUCAAUUAAACAUAAAAUAUAAUUACGAUAUUAUAUUAUACGACAUUGUCGACCAUUCAUAGGAGAGAAAAUUCGCAUUACUGUAUAUCGUACGGGUUACGUAAAUGCGCAGUAGGGCGGCGGGCAGGGCGCGGCGGCGCGAGGGGCGGAGGUUGACGGGCGGCAUUGGCGGAAUACAGAGUGCCAGGGACGCUCGCCCCUUCAGUGGAUCGUUUGUUUUGACUGAACAACUGAUCUCCUAUCAAACUACACUUAUCUUCCAUAGGAACACAGAAAAGAUUCCAGAAUGACUUCGCCAGCUAUUACCAAAUCUCCGGACAACCAGAAGGGGAACAAGAAGUCGCCUACACACUCGGCAGGCGGAGCAGAGCGAGCGCCCUCUCGCGCCGAGUCUGCUUCAGCCUCUACCUCAACCGCCACUUCGCAACAACCUGAACCAUUCAGUUGGCUGCGAAUCUUCAAACUCGCCGAUCUCAUGAUGAAACAAGGAUGUUAAAAAUAAUCUCUAGCUUCCAAUUCUGUCGUUAACAUA